rnacentral:snRNA from 1 species
GCUAAGUCCGUUCGGCGG